GCUAGCUUUCUCAGAACAAAUCAGUUUAAAUAAAACGAUUAUCGAUGACGUACUUUUGAUCGAAUGUAACUCGUCAUCUUCAGUAACAUUUAAAUUUAGUGAUGAACAACGGGAUUCGACAGUGUACAUAGCAAAGUGCGAACAUGCUGUGCGUCGAUGCUAUUUUGUUGAUAGCAACCAUAACAGUAAAUUUGAGGUGUCAUACACAGGCCAUGGAGGACUUCUUCGUGUUAUGCCGUUGAAUAUGGGUGUAUGGGGAACAUACAUAUGUUGUGAUUCAUAUAGACCGAGAAUAUGUAAUAGCACAACCGUGUUAUUAAAUGAGACAAUAACAACUAUCUUACCAAUCAGUCUCAGAAACAUAACAGCAACAAGAGGUACAACAAUCACUGACGUUAAAACACAAUCGCCAAACAAAGACUCAGAUGGAAAAGCGAUAUGGAUCGCAGUUGGUGUUUCGGUUUCGGUUUCGGUCGUCGCUAUCAUUGCCAUCAGUCUUGCGAUUUGUGCAAUGAUUCGAACAAAUCGACUAGAAGCCAGAAAACCAUAUCGCCAGCGAGAACGAACCAGAAGUGAAAACCCGGAAAUCAUUACAAUUGACGAUGAUGAUGCAGAGCUUGAAACCAUGUGUGUUUCUCAUGUUGGUGAAGAUCAGGGACUCAUAAAACAAAAAGCUGUCGAUCAAUUGACGUAAAAUGACGUUUCUUGAAGACCCAUGCCAAUCUAAAUACGAACUGUGUUUCGUUGGUUAACUACUUAAAUAUUUUGGCUGUAGUUUCGCCCUUUUGUUUAAAACGGGCAAGUAUAUACACUUAUCAAAUAUAUUUGUUUUAUGCAGCGACAUCAUCUAUAGAAAAAGCAAAACCAUAAAAAGGUGAACUUAAUUGGAGACAAUAUACUAUUUGAAGUUUGCAAGAAGACAGUUACAUGAAUUGAUAUAGCGUUUAUUCUUUUUAUAUGGAAGGACUUGUUCGCCAAUCCAUUUAUGUUGCUAAAUGAGAGUUGCAUAUUGCUUAAUGACAAUUCUUUUUUGCUUUUCGACAACUUCGUGUAAACAUAUGAUAUUUGCGUGUUGGUAUGUGAAACAUGGUUAUUUAUUGAAUGUUCUAAAAGCUAUGUAUAAGGAAAUGAAAUCCUGCGUAAAAGUGCAUAAGAAAUAUACAUGUUCAUUUGGUACUUACACACAAUUAGUUGAGUACGCUGUUACCAAUCGAUUUUCGUGUAACCUCGGCACCAGACAAGGAGACAAAACAAUAUCGACAAUUUUGUUCCUCUUUACUGACGAGUUAUCUACCUUUCUGCGUGCUGUAACUUCCAAGCGCCUUUGUGCUGUGUAAAAUCUAUA